AAUGCAACUCUAAUUCUAAGGCUCUAAGCGCCACCUAUUUCCGGUAGUCAAAAUGUGCCAUGGCGGCUUCCUGUCAAUUGGAUGUGUGCGUAGCAUGGGAGCUUCAAUGGUACAUCUCAGCUUUUUUGGUUAUCCGCAGCUGUUCCUUAUAUUUCCGCGUAAUAACUCUUUCUUGUACCCAAUACAAUACCGAAUAGGGAUCGUAUAGAAGCUCAGAGGCUGCACCUGUCAUUCACAUAGACAGGUAAGGUAGCUGUUCGCGACCACUUUCAACUCAUCUGGGACGUACAUAAUUUUUUGUGUAAUUUAUGCAUGCUUAGGCAUCAUUUUUCACGCCGCCUGAAGUUCUCGCUGAAAGUACGCUUUAAAUGCACUGCACGCUUUAAAUUGACACCCAUCUGUAACGUGUUUGAGCCGUUAUUUAUAGCCCAUAUUUUGCGGACUACGAUUUUAAACUCAUGCGCACUACCGCCCGUUUGUUCUGUUGCGCUCGCGAUAUCAAUGUUUUUAGAUCCAGAAGGCUGCUUCCGCAUGAAAAAAGAGACUCGCCGUGUUAGAUUGUACACAUGGAAAGCGAACGCUGCGACACGUUCUUUAAAUUGGCCGACUGUUGCAAGCGGUGGCAUCAUUGCCGUCGUCGAAGUGUAUAUACAGGCACACUAUAAUAGAGACAUACGUAUUUACAGUGCCAAAUGAACAAUUUGGUGUUUCGUCCCUUGGCGCUCUCCUGCUCGGCCUGACAGGCAGGUGUCACGCAGUGCGUUGCACUGAGAGCGCAUGAGCAUACCGCGAAAUCUACGCGAGCGUUUUUAUAGACAAAUGCUCGAAGAUUUCUAUCCCCAGCUGCCACUUGAAAGUGCGUUUAGCUAGCAAGCCAGCAAUAGUGUCUGCGCUUUCAAGGAUACACUUGAUCAUACGAAGAUAAUGAGACAAAGUGUAAACACAUGAAUGACAGAUUCAAUAUUUCUUGACACUCGUAAAUCUUCAAACCUGCCAGUUGUUCGUUAGUGCGUGGAAAAGUGGAAUUUUGUGAUGUUUAAAAGCAGACAUUGGUUCAUCCAAACGUGGCUUUGCCUAAGCCGUCGCAUUGUAUGAAUGAAUUAUCAAAUGCAUGGGCAUUGGAGCAAUGAGGUAAUGUAGCUGAAAAAUGCACCUUUGUUCUCUUUUCACUUUGCCUCAUGGUAUUCUGUCUCAAGUUUAGCUAUUGUCAAAGCAGCAAUUUCGACUGACACAGCAACGCUCAUCUGAAUGGCAUCUGUCAAUGUCGUAGCGGAUAAAGAAUGUGUGGCAACAUGAAAAGGCCUUUGACGACACAGGCGAGUAGUGGACGGCACACUUCAGUUCUAAUUAAAGUUACAUCAGCACAGAGCAUGUAUGCUACGACCAAGUUGGGCCCAUACUUUGGAUUACCAUGUACAGUGUCGCUCUCUUCUGCAUUCCAGAAGAUGGAAGCCAGUGUUUCUUUGCUGUUGCCAUUUCAAUUUAGUAUAUUUUCAUGUUUUCAUGCUCUGCAAAAUACAGCCAGAGGUUGCACGGUCUUGAAAUGAAGACUACUUUUUGUGUUUUCAAGAUAAAAUUUUAGCUAUAAUAAACGGAAUUUCCAAAAAACAAA